CAGUAAACACACUGCGCAUGCUCCCCUCCCCAGCGCUAGCAGGCCACUACUGCGCAUGCGGACAGCCCACCCCAAGGGAAGAAAGGGAAGAAUCGUGGGGAGAAGCAACGCAAGACCCCGGAAGCAUGCCAACGUGUAAAACCCCAAGUCAAAGGUCAAACAGUGCACUGGAUCUCUCAAGUCGCCUGCUUGGCCCUCUACUAAAAAGGGAGAUGCCAUGUGCUGGCCCAGCACUCCAACAGGGGCCUGACCUCUAGGAACGGGACACUGGAGGAAGCCUAGACAUCUGAACAAAUCAAGUCAUCCAGAUCCACGGUCAGCUCCUGCCCCGACUUGGCCUUCCUCCUGCUGGGCUGGCCCACGGACCUCGGGAACCUGCCCUGGCUGUGGGUGACCUGCAGCCUAUCUCCCAGGACUAUGGAAGCCCCAUGCAGGAACAUGGUUCUGACACUUUGGGGAUUAUACCCUAAGCUUAAAGGACUGGAAAAGCCCCUGAAGUCCCGAGACCACAACCCUCCACCUUCUAAAGAUAAGACAAGUCACUGAAGGUCUCAGAACUGUGGCCCAUUCACCCCUUCCCUCAAGACAAGAGUGUGGCCAAGCAUCAAUCUCACCCCCAGAGACCAGACGGUGUCCAGGUCUUGGGCAGACGAAACCUGCUCCUUGGGGAUGGUCUUCCUGGCUGUGCUUCCAAAGGGCUGGCCUGCAAUCAGCUGGUUUUCACUUGAUCCUUUCGGGGUUUGCAUUAUAUCUGACUGAAGGAAUGAACUGGGAGAGAACAGCAGAGCCGCAGCGGAAUGUGGAAAGGCCCACGUCCAGACUGUUCCCAUUCUGAUUUAAAAGCCUGAUGAAGGAACAGCUGAACUCAGAGAAACAGCAGAGGAAAGGUCCUGUGAGGGUACAGUGAGAAGAUGGCCAUCUACCAGCCAGGAGGAAAGGCCUAACAAGAAACCAACUCUGCUGGCACCUUGAUCGUGAACUCCCGCCCUCUAGAACUGUGAGAAAAUAAACGUCUGUUUAAGCCACCUGGUCUGUGGUAUUUUGUUAUGGAAGCCCGAGCAGACCAAUAUGCCUACUAAGCUCUGUGACCUAGAAGGCUCCUCUUCUGUCUUUUUCCUCCUGGAAUGUGAGAAAAUCUGGCAAAGUGGGAGCCAGAGAGGCUAGGCCACUAAAAGCCUGUGUGCGAAAUGAUCUGUACACAGCGAAUUGACUCCACCUUUCACACAUUACUACUUAAAUCAUGAAAGGAGCAUUGCAAGGAGGAAGUAUUUUAACAGCAGAAGAAAACAUGCCUCCAAUGUCAAGAAAUUUCAGCACAAUUUUGUGCAGCCAGGACCAGAUGAAGGGAAAGGCCAAGCAAUAUGUUUUGAGGACUGAAUAUCUAUGCUUCCCCAAAUUCAUAUGUUGAAAUCCUAACUUCCGAUGUGAAGAUAUUUGUAGGUGGGGCUUUAAGAGAUAAUUAGGUCACAAGGGCAGAGCCCCCAUGAGUGGGAUUAGUGCUCUUAGAAAAGGGACCCAAGAGGGCUGUCUCUCUUGCCCUCUUUCCGCCAUAUGAGAAUCCAAUGAGAUGGCAUCAUCUGCAAAUCAGGAAGAGGAUGCUCACCAGACACCAGAUCUGCCAGCACCUUGAUCUUGGACUCCUCAGCCUCUAGAACUGUAAGAAAUAACGUUUGUUGUUUAAGCAACCCAGUCUAUGGCAACUUGUUAUAGCAGCCUGAACUAAGAUAAUCUAUAAGGUAAGGCAAAUAAGAAAAAAAUCCAAACCCAAAAUGACUUUAAGCGACUCCUAGAGGAACCCUGCCAACAUCACUAAGUUCAGAGAGGUAAAAUCAGGCAACAAGCAGAAUUAUCUUCGGGGGUCCAUAAAAAUUUCCAGGUCUGGUCGCAACUGUCAUAUCUUGACACAAAGGGGCACAUAUUGGAUCCCAGAAAGUUCUAUGGACUUCUUAGGGCUUGCAAAAGUUGUAUAAUUUUAUUGAUUAUAUAAGUAAUACAUGUUCAUUGUUGAGAUUUUGGAAAUAAUAAUCUAUCAUCUGACCUCUCUGAGAAAACCAUUAUUAACCUUUUAACUUUCUACUUUCUGUUAUUUGCAUUCAUACAUGUUUAUCCAUUAUCCAUGUAGCAUUUUUUAUCAUGCUUUUGAACUCCAUUUUAUUUACAUCAUGAUGACUUGAUAGUGACAAAAAAGAUUCCAAAAUAUGAUUUUAAUGACAG
rnacentral:lncRNA from 1 species